rnacentral:rRNA from 1 species
GAUGAACGCUGGCGGCGUGCCUAACACAUGCAAGUCGAGCGAGAAGUUUAUGGAAUAAGUCUUCGGACAAGUAAAGUAAAUGGAAAGCGGCGGACGGGUGAGUAACGCGUAGGCAACCUGCCCCAUACAGAGGGAUAGCCUCGAGAAAUCGGGAUUAAAACCUCAUAAUGCCAUCGAGUCACAUGGCUCUUUGGCCAAAGAUUUAUCGGUAUGGGAUGGGCCUGCGUCUGAUUAGCUAGUUGGUGAGGUAACGGCUCACCAAGGCUGCGAUCAGUAGCAGAACUGAGAGGUUCAUCUGCAACAUUGGAACUGAGACACGGUCCAAACUCCUACGGGAGGCAGCAGUGAGGAAUAUUGCACAAUGGGCGAAAGCCUGAUGCAGCAACGCCGCGUGAGCGAUGAAGGCCUUUGGGUCGUAAAGCUCUGUCCUUGGGGAAGAAACAAACGACGGUACCCUUGGAGGAAGCCCCGGCUAACUACGCGCCAGCAGCCGCCGUAA